CCUACGGGUGGCAGCAGUGAGGAAUAUUGGUCAAUGGACGAGAGUCUGAACCAGCCAAGUAGCGUGAAGGAUGACUGCCCUAUGGGUUGUAAACUUCUUUUAUAUGGGAAUAAAAUGUUCCACGUGUGGGAUUUUGUAUGUACCAUAUGAAUAAGGAUCGGCUAACUCCGUGCCAGCAGCCGCGGUAAUACGGAGGAUCCGAGCGUUCUCCGGAUUUAUUGGGUUUAAAGGGAGCGUAGGUGGAUUGUUAAGUCAGUUGUGAAAGUUUGCGGCUCAACCGUAAAAUUGCAGUUGAAACUGGCAGUCUUGAGUACAGUAGAGGGGGGCGGAAUUCGUGGUGUAGCGGUGAAAUGCGUAGAUAUCACGAAGAACUCCGAUUGCGAAGGCAGUUCACUGGACUGCAACUGACACUGAGGCUCGAAAGUGUGGGUAUCAAACAGGAUUAGAUACCCCUGUAGUC
rnacentral:rRNA from 1 species